ACCCGAGUCCCAAAUAGGACGAAACGCGUGUCCUGGAU
rfam:Schistosoma haematobium scaffold293_11, whole genome shotgun sequence.